rnacentral:lncRNA from 10 species
CUCUUCUCCACUAGAGUUUGUGAAUGCAAAGUCAUGAUUAUUUUGUACACCACUGAAUAUUCAACAACUUGCAAAGUGUCUGGCAUAGAUAGAGAUAGGUAGGUAGAGAGAGAGAAAUAGACGUAGAUAGAUAGAUAGAUAGAUACAUACAUACAUACAUACAUAGAGAUGGAGUGAGAGAUAGAGAGACAGAGAUAGAGACAGACAGGUGGGGAGAGAGAGAGAGAGAGAGAGAGAAAUGUUCAACCAAAACAUUUGUUGGAUGAGUAAAAAAAGAAACAUGAUCCUUUCCCUCCUGAAGCUUACAGUCUAUCAUGGAAUGCAGACAAGUCAACAGAUCUUUAUCUUUCAUUAAUAAUCGAUAUAGAAAAUAUAAACAUAAGGUGCCAUGGAAGAAUAUCUUCAAUCAAAUCCAGCAAAAUACCUGUUCUCUACGCUAGGUGCACAGGUGUCUUGACUCAUUGCUGCCACACAUUGGCCACUCUCAUCGAAUUCAGAGGACUCAUGGAAACCACACACCCACUAGCUGUUCCCUCAGAAGCCCCUGAAUUACCAACAAAAAGCUGGUUCGUCUCGGCUACUGAGAAAUAAUUUGUCAUGUUUCAUCCCCUAAAUGAAAGAUGCCAGACUGAAUGCCCGUCUGAGAAAGGGACAGAGCAUGAGAUCUAACAAAGAACCUCAGCACUCAAAAAGUUUACCACUAAAAUGGAGUGACAAGGAAAGCAGGGGAAGAAAAAUCACUACUGGAAGUACUGCUACUAUCACCACUGCUCCUGGGAGGAAUCACCGCAGCAGCUGUUCAUCAAGUGCUUCCUGCAGCCAAUCACUAGGCUAAAAGCACCUGACAUGCCACAUCACAGCAGCUUGCUAACAAUAGCUGCUGUGAUUCUCACUUAACAAUAAAAGUGUGGCUCAGCGAGGCCAAGGAGCUUUUUCAAAAUCUUGUCACUAAUAAAUCUCAGAGUCCAGGCUUGAACCCAUGUCAACCUGACCCUAACGCCUUGGUCUUCACCUGAGUGCUUGCUAUGUGCCAGGCAUUGUCAACAGUACUUUAUAUUAAUUGUGUCACUUAAUUGUUAAACAGCCCUAUCAGUUCUCCAUCAAUAUUCCCUGAAGGGAAUGGGGCCUUGGAAAGAUUAGUGAACUGGACCCCUGACAUGAUCUCUUCCUUCCAAUACUUACAAUAAACUACUGUUUAGUAUGGAGAAGAAAGACUAGUGGAUAUUGAAGAACUGGCAGAAUAAACACUUGCAUAGAUGGAAGAUGUACAGAGGAUGUAUGCGAUACAGGACUUUAAAGAAUGCUGACAUCUUUGUGGCUGAAAUUAAUUGGAAAUUUUAAAAAAUCCGUCCUGGAAUUUGGCACAUGUAUGGGAUAUGGAUAGAAAAUAAGAGCAAAGAGGAAUUCAAGAUAAUGAGGCAAUAUAAACAAAAGUUGAAAAGAGAAAAUGAGCAUGCAGUGCCUAGAGAUGCCAAGGAAUCCAGAUCACUGAGGUCGGAUAGAUGUGUCUUUCCAGAAUUUGAUGAGGUUAACCAGGUAGAGCCAGAUGGUAGAGAUCCUUGAAUACCAGGCAAGGGAGUUCAUCUCUCCACCUGUAAGCAUGAAGGAGCCACGGGAGAUUUUGCAAAGGGAAUGACCAAAACGAAAAUGGCAUUUAGGAAAUGAGUUUGCCAGAAGUACCUGGGAGAAAUGGGGACUAGGCACUGAGAAUGUAAUUCAUAGCACAGCAGAACAGAUACUAAAAGAUCGUUCUGGAAGCAGAAGGGCUGGUUUCCAGCUUUUCUGAGGUUGUUUCACUGUGGGUAACUGCUAAGGCCUUCACCCUUGAUGCCAGAGGUGCUGAAACACAUUGCCACACGGCGAAAGAAGUGCCCUAUUGGCCCAAACACAUUGAAUAAACA